rnacentral:rRNA from 1 species
AACGAACGCUGGCGGCAUGCCUAACACAUGCAAGUCGAACGAUUGCCUUCGGGUGAUAGUGGCGCACGGGUGCGUAACGCGUGGGAAUCUGCCCUUAGGUUCGGAAUAACAGCUGGAAACGGCUGCUAAUACCGGAUGAUAUCGCGAGAUCAAAGAUUUAUCGCCUGAGGAUGAGCCCGCGUUGGAUUAGGUAGUUGGUGGGGUAAAGGCCUACCAAGCCGACGAUCCAUAGCUGGUCUGAGAGGAUGAUCAGCCACACUGGGACUGAGACACGGCCCAGACUACUACGGGAGGCAGCAGUGGGGAAUAUUGGACAAUGGGCGCAAGCCUGAUCCAGCAAUGCCGCGUGAGUGAUGAAGGCCCUAGGGUUGUAAAGCUCUUUUACCCGGGAAGAUAAUGACUGUACCGGGAGAAUAAGCCCCGGCUAACUCCGUG